ensembl:lncRNA
GAUGUGCCUAUGCAGAAAAACUCAGUCCCUGGGUUGGGAAGAUCCCCUGGAGUAGGGCAUAGCAACCCACUCCAGUAUUCUUGCCUGGAGAAUCCCAUGGACAGAGGAACCUGUCUCCCACAGUGCUUUCCAUCAGCCGAACCCAACUGCAAGUAAGAGGACAAGAGACCCGUGAUUCAGUCCAUACAGGUUGACCUCCCUGGGGCAUGGGAGAGGAUGGAGGAGAAUAGAGAAUGGAUCUGGAAAAGAAAACAGAAAACAUUCAGCACACGUGUUAUCUCAGUUUGGACAAUUAGCUCUUCUUGCUCUAGAACUUGAAAUUGAAAACAGAGAGACAGAGAAAUUGUCAUUAAAAAUGAAUACCGUUAAUGGUGCAUGACAGAAUGUCCACCAGUUUCUGCUGCCGAAGAAUCUUGACCUUUUCUGCUUCCAUUUCUUCUACAAAUUGGUUGCUCAGUGAUCCAGGAUGUUUCCAAUAUGUCUCUUACUUCUGCCUAAUACGAUGGAAGUCAUUUACUGUCACUUAUAACUGAAAGGUCCCUAAUGAAGCAAUGCCCAAAUUUUUAGUAUUGGCAUUUAGAUCACUGCAUUUAUGGCUACAUUCCCAACUGUACUCAAGAAAAGGACUUAUGUAGAAGAAGAGGAAGCGGAGGAGAAAGGGGAGGAAAGAGAGGAGAUCGGGGAAAGAAGGAGAAGGGAAGGAGGAGGAAGGGUGGGAAAGGGAAUAGAAAGAGAACAAGAACACAAAUGAUUAUAAAUACUUGGAAAGUAGGAACUUCUUCAAUAUGAUCCUGCUGAGAACCACUGUCCCAUCACCCACAUUCUCAGAUGGCUCUUUUGGAGAAAAACUUAAUUAUUGGGUUCUAAUUUUUUAGAGUUAGCUAUUUUGCUUAAUUGAAUUUGCUAGUUAACUGUCCAUAACCUUUGAAUUUUAAUCUAAGCCAUAUUACCUGAAAUCUUAUAUAGAUCUGCAGCAGUUGCUUGAGAUCCCUAAAGGGCAGA